rnacentral:rRNA from 1 species
UACGUAGGGGGCAAGCGUUGUCCGGAAUUAUUGGGCGUAAAGCGCGCGCAGGCGGUCAUUUAAGUCUGGUGUUUAAUCCUGGGGCUCAACCCCAGUUCGCAUCGGAAACUGGAUGACUUGAGUGUAGGAGAGGAAAGUGGAAUUCCACGUGUAGCGGUGAAAUGCGCAGAUAUCAGGAGGAACACCGGUGGCGAAGGCGGAUCUCUGGGCCUUACCUGACGCUGAGGCGCGAAAGCUAGGGGAGCAAACAGG